CGCUGGUCGGAAACGAAGGAAGGGCUUCCCGCGAUCGGGGCCGUCCGACCGCGCGAUAGUGGUUUCGCCAGACGCAUUUGUCUCCCGCUCGAAGGACGCCGCAGCCGGUCGGGCAGUGAAAGCGUGACGGCCUGAGGGGCGGACGAUGGCAGGUGGCCGGUGGCUAGCCUCGUGCUUGUCGCCGGUUGUUAGCCGGUCCGUCGGUGGCCCGUCGCUCGACCGAGGUAUCACGAGGCCCUUCGGGGCUCUCUCGCCUCCUCCCCCUCAAAGGGAAGUCGGGACAGGACGUCGCAAGCGAAGGUCGCCGUCCCACCGCACUCCUCCGGAGUGGGUGGGCGAACGCUCGGCGCCGUUGGCGAUGGCGGACCCGUUGGAGGUUGGAGGCUGGCGGCGAGUAGGUCGGUCACCCACCCGACCCGUCUUGAAACACGGACCAAGGAGUCUAACAUGUGCGCGAGUCAAUGGGUCUUGAACAGGCCCAGGGGCGCAAUGAAAGCAAAGGUCGACUUCACGUCGACCGAGUUGGGAUCCCCCGCUCCUAAACAGGCGGGGGCGCACCAACGACCCGUCGUAUCCGGCUCGCCGGUUCGGCGGAGUGUGAGCGUACACGUUGGGACCCGAAAGAUGGUGAACUAUGCCCGGACAGGACGAGGCCAGAG
rnacentral:rRNA from 1 species